rnacentral:rRNA from 1 species
ACGUAGGUGGCAAGCGUUGUCCGGAUUUAUUGGGCGUAAAGCGAGCGCAGGCGGUUUCUUAAGUCUGAUGUGAAAGCCUUCGGCUCAACUGUAGAACUGCAUCUGAAACUGGGAAACUUGAGUAUAGAAGAGGAAAGUGGAAUUCCAUGUGUAGCGGUGAAAUGCGUAGAUAUAUGGAAGAACACCAGUGGCGAAGGCGGCUGUCUGGUCUGUAACUGACGCUGAGGCUCGAAAGCGUGGGUAGCAAACAG